GACGAACGCUGGCGGCGUGCUUAACACAUGCAAGUCGAACGAUGAAGCCGGAGCUUGCUCUGGUGAAUUAGUGGCGAACGGGUGAGUAACACGUGAGUAACCUGCCCUUGACUCUGGGAUAACUGCGGGAAACUGUAGCUAAUACCGGAUACGACCCUCGGAGGCAUCUCCUGGGGGUGGAAAGAAUUUCGGUCAAGGAUGGACUCGCGGCCUAUCAGCUAGUUGGUGAGGUAAAGGCUCACCAAGGCGACGACGGGUAGCCGGCCUGAGAGGGUGACCGGCCACACUGGGAAUGAGACACGGCCCAGACUACUACGGGAGGCAGCAGUGGGGAAGAUUGCACAAUGGGCGCAAGCCUGAUGCAGCAACGCCGCGUGAGGGAUGACGGCCUUCGGGUUGUAAACCUCUUUUAGUAGGGAAGAAGCGAAAGUGACGGUACCUGCAGAAAAAGCACCGGCUAACUACGUGCCAGCAGCCGCAGUAA
rnacentral:rRNA from 1 species